rnacentral:ncRNA from 1 species
CCCUGACAGUCGCAUGGUGUGGCUGACUAACCCAGACAGGAGAUCAACAUG